GAACCUGAAACCUUGUGCCUACAAGCACAUAGAGCCCGUCAAAGGGUGAUAUGGUACUUUUUGUAGAACGGUCCGGCGAGCGAUUGUACGUUGCGAGCUUAAGGUCUUAAGGACUGGAGGCGUAGCGAGAGCGAGUCUAAACAGGGCGCUUAGUAGCGUGCAAUGGGCCCGAAACCGGGUGACCUACCCAUGAUCAGGCUGAAGUGAAAGUAAAAUUUCAUGGAGGGCCGAACCGACCUCCUUUGAAAAGGCGGCGGAUGAAUUGUGGGUAGCGGGGAAAUUCCAAUCGAACUCGGAGAUAGCUGGUUCCCCCCGAAAUAGCUUUAGGGCUAGCCUCAUGUUAGGUAUCCGGAGGUAAAGCACUGAAUGGCCUAGCGUCCGAGAGGAUAGCGAAGCCUAUCAAACUAAGAAUGCCGGAAUAUUGAUGCAUGGGAGUCAGACAGUGUGAGAUAAAUCUCAUUGUCAAAAGGGAAACAGCCCAGAUCUACAGCUAAGGUCCCAAAUUGUAUCUAAGUGGAAAACGAUGUGGAAAUACGCAGACAACCAGGAUGUUGGCUCAGAAGCAGCCACUCAUUUAAAGAGUGCGUAAUAGCUCACUGGUCGAGCGUCUCUGCGCGGAAAAUUUAACGGGGCUAAGAUACAAACCGAAGCUUAGGCUGCACUUUUAGUGCGGAGUAGGGGAGCGUUGUGUAAGCGGAGAAACAGUAGCGGAAGCGGCUGUGGAGUUUACAGAAGUGAGAAUGCCGGAAUGAGUAGCGCGAAUGAUGUGAGAAUCAUCAUGGCCGGAAACCUCAGGUUUUUGGAGGAAGGUUCGUCCGCUCCAAGUUAGGCGGGAGCUAAGGUGAGGCCGAAAGGCGUAGCCGAUGCACAGACGGUAGAGAUUCCGUCCCCACCGAAAGAUUUAAGCGCAGGGACACUUUUAGAAGGUCGGAGCCAGGUGUUGGUUCUGGUAGGGAUCGAGGGAAAUUUAGUACCGAAGUCCGGCUGGAUAAGAGGCGAGAAAAGCUGCGUGUAUAUCUAAGUUGCCCGUACCGCAAACCGACACAGGUAGGUAGGAAGAAGAUUCUAAGGCCAACGGGAGAAGGGUUGUUAAGGAACUCGGCAAGUUGACCCCGUAACUUCGGAAUAAGGGGUGCUCAUGAAAGUGAGCCGCAGAGAAUAGGCCCAGGCAACUGUUUACUAAAAACACAGGUUUGUGCUAAAUCGAAAGAUGACGUAUACGAGCUGACGCCUGCCCGGUGCUGGAAGGUUAAAAGGAGAUGUGCAAGCAUUGAAUUGAAGCCCCAGUGAACGGCGGCCGUAACAAUAACGGUCCUAAGGUAGCGAAAUUCCUUGUCAGGUAAGUUCUGACCCGCAUGAAAGGCGUAAUGAUCUGGGCACUGUCUCAACAGCCCGCCCGGCGAAAUUGUAGUACCGGUGAAGAUGCCGGUUACCCGCGACAAGACGGAAAGACCCCAUGGAGCUUUACUGUAGCCUAAUAUUGGGUUUCGGUGUUGCAUGCACAGGAUAGAUGGGACGCUAGGAAGUGAGUGCUUUGGCAUUCAUGGAGCGGCCGUUGGGAUACCAUCCUUGCGACAUUGGAAUUG
rnacentral:rRNA from 1 species